CAAAAAGUAGUUUAAGCAAAACAAAAGCUUUGGAAGCUUUAAUUUUACCAGGUAACUUUUUGA
rnacentral:tRNA from 1 species